rnacentral:tRNA from 1 species
CACUAUGAAGCUAGUAGCGCUAACCUUUUAAGUUAGAGAUAGGAGCCAACGGCCCCCAUAGUGA